rnacentral:rRNA from 16 species
CGAUGCGAUCAUACCAGCACUAAAGCACCGGAUCCCAUAAGAACUCCGAAGUUAAGCGUGCUUGGGCGAGAGUUGUACUAGGAUGGGUGACCUCCUGGGAAGUCCUCGUGUUGCAUUCC